UACAUUAUAUAUAUUAAUUAUAUACAUAUUAUAUCAUUUAAUCCUCACAGCAACCUUAUAUGGUGGGCAUUCUCUGAUCCAGAUUUUACAGAUGAAGAGGCUGAGGUACAGAAAAGUGACACACACCCAUGGUGAUACAGACUCACAGUUACUUGUCGCAGAUCAUACAGCUACUAAAUCUGCAAUCUGCAAGAUGAUCUCCUGGAGAGAGACUAAAACAAGUUUUAGUUCAAACUUAUCUGUCUCUGUAAGGAGAACUCAAAAUAUUUGGUGAACAGCUCUAAUGAUGACCACACCCCUAGGGUACACAAUUCCUGCAGAGAUGACAAGGUACA
rnacentral:lncRNA from 1 species